UCACCUAAUUAUAAAAGAGAUGUGCUUGUUAAUAUCCUGAACACAUUCUUGUUCUUCCCUCUUUGAAUGAAGGAUCCUUAAAUAAGCGGCCAGUGGGACCCACCCUGAAAGAAGCCAACAAAUUGUAACAGCUUUGUUUACUACCCUUAUCAUAUGUGUGCUGAAGUUUCCUGAUGUCAUCAACAAUCAACCCAUGCUCUGACAGUUUGAGACAGAUCCCUAUGCAAAGAGACAGCGAUUCCUAACCCAAGGCAUUAGUUUUCAAACUGAAGUGUUCUUGCCAUCUGAAAAAAAAUACUGUAAUUAAGGAGGAUGCCACCCUCAAGUUUCCUCUUCUUUUGAAAACCAACCUCUUCUGAGAAAAAUCAAGCUGCUUCCAUGAAAGAUAAGGGAGGGGUGUUGAAAUGUUCCUUUGGCUGAGAUUUUCAGUUUCUCAUGAGGAUGCAGCUGGCCACAGUAGAGAUCCACAGAGAGAAGGAUGCCAUGCAGGGAGAUCAGACAAGGACGAGGGAAAUGCUCACCAGACAAUGAAAGGUAAUAGAAUUCUGAGCCAAAGUCCUUUCAUCUGAACCACUGUAACUAGUCCAUUACGUCUUCAAUGUCCUAUAACAUUUUUCUGGUAUUUAGGACUGUCAACCUUCCUUUUUUAUUGUGCACAUUUACCUUGAUGCAUUUCCUAUCUGCAGGGGAAAAACCAUCUCUGCAACUCCAAGAAGGAAAGUUUCUUCAAAAUGGACAAUAGGGUGUGUAGAUAGAAUGGUCUGUCUUCCUGGGAUUAAAAUAAAUGGCCCUUCUUAAAACCAGGUUGAUAAAUAUUUCCAAGUUACUAGAUGUAGACCAGCCUUCCCAUAAACCCUAUCAUGAAUUAUCUAUGACUAAGGCUCCUAAGUCCCAAGUCAUUGACUCAGAUGAGAUGUUUUAUCUCAUAAGAGUUGAUAUAAACUUUCUGGCACUUGGCAAGGCAAGCCGAGGAAUCUGUGAGCAAGGAGGAGUGAAAACAGACUGUUAGUGGCAAUGGGGCAUCUUCUGAGCUGGGAGUCUGAAAGGUCAGUCCAUCCUCAGUC